UUGGGGUAGCCAACAAAAUAUUGGGACAUAUAAAAAAAGACAACUCUGUUUCGCAGAGUAGCUGUUGACAUUAUAGUUGUCCAGGAACUUUGUUGACUCUAGAGACCCUCGGGCAAAUCGCACAUCCCCGUGGUUGCGAAUUUGCAUGCGGAUGUCAUCCAUAUCAACUUUCAAUGCCAGUUUGUGCGCCUACCAUGGUGACCACGGGUAACGGGGAAUCAGGGUUCCAUUCCGUACAGGCACCCUGAGAAACGGCUACCACAUGCAAGGAAGGCAGCAGGCACGCAAAUGAACCACUCCCGACGCGGGAAGGUAGUGACGA